rnacentral:lncRNA from 1 species
GUUUGUGAACUUGACCAGCUUGAUCUCUCUUGACAUGAGUUCUAAUAGCUUUAACGGCUCAAUUCCUCCUACAUUGUUCCCUUUGAAGAAUCUUCAGUAUCUUAACUUAAACGAGAGUGGUUUUGGAGGAGAGAUUCCUGGAGAUGUGUUUGUGAACUUGACCAGCUUGAUCUCUCUUGACAUGAGUUCUAAUAGAUUUAACGGCUCUAUCCCUCAUGAAUUGUUCUCCUUGAAAAAUCUUCAGCGUCUUGACUUAAGCAGGAAUGUUAUUGGCGGUACAUUGAGUGGUGACAUCAAAGAGCUCAAGAAUCUGCAGGAACUGAUCUUAGAUGAGAAUCUCAUUGGAGGAGAGAUUCCUCCAGAAAUAGGUAAACUAGAAAAUAAAUUCUCAAAUAGUAAACUUUAUAUUCAUGUGUGUUAAAAUGUUCCUACCUUUUAAAAUGUUGCAAGGUAGUCUUGUCGAACUACGGACGCUGACAUUGAGGCAGAACAUGUUCAAUGGUUCUAUACCGUCGUCUGUUUCACGGUUAACGAAGCUCAAAACGAUUGAUCUUCAGAACAAUUCCUUGUCUUCUGAUAUUCCAGACGAUAUUGGAAACUUAGUCAAUCUAUCAACUCUAUCUUUGAGCAUG